AAGUUGGUUCAAAACCGAAGAGAGAUGACAACUAAUUUUUUAUUUCAUCAGUUCAAAACUGCGGCUUCCAGGUUUUGCAGUUUCUGUGUUAUCCACCGUUUAAGUGGUUUCGGAGAUUCGCUCCCUUCAAGGCUCUCGUUGACAACUUGCAGGUUUGUUUGCUACAGACUGACAUUUAAAAAAAGUUAUGUCACUCCGUGAAACAUUCGAUGGACUAAAUAGUUGCAUGCUUGCAGACGGUAUCGAAGCCGUUACUGGCGACAUUGGAACGGCUUUUACUGAUGAUGUCAACAAUUCUGAUGAUAU
rnacentral:lncRNA from 1 species